rnacentral:misc_RNA from 1 species
GCAAACUUGGUCAUUUAGAGGAAGUAAAAGUCGUAACAAGGUUUCCGUAGGUGAACCUGCGGAAGGAUCAUUAAAAAGUAAAGGGCCGCGGGGGCCGUCUAAAAACCCGAUAGCCAGAAGGCGUCGCCCCCCGUCCGGGGGAGGCGCCGGAACGGUGAACCCCUUGUGAAAACCCCUUGUUGCUUCGGCAGCGCCUCCCCGCCCCCGCGGCGGGGAGGGUCAGCCUGCCGGCAGCACCACAGGAAACUACUUGCGAAAACCAGCACGCAAACGUCUGAGAGCGCAGUCGAAUGACACUUAAAACUUUCAACAACGGAUCUCUUGGUUCCCGCAUCGAUGAAGAACGCAGC